rnacentral:rRNA from 1 species
AUGAGAGUCCAACAUACGUUAGACCCAGCAGCUCACCAGACAAAAAGAAAGAAAGAACAACCUCUAAACUCAAGGAGUACAAAGCGGACAAGGACUGCAGAGGGAAGAAGAAAUGCGAACACAGAGGCUCCUAAACGAUUGAGAAAGGCUAAUGCUGAAGAAGAUAGGGAAUUGAAGCGCGCCAGAAGCGAAACCAACAAAAACAACACUAGAGUCAAUGUUGGAGACAACAACAGAACCAGAACCUCGACAAGUGCUAAUAGCAAGCCAUGGAACUUCGGAAGGCCAACAUACAAAUGCCAAUAUUGCAAAGCAUUGCUAUGGUGUGAAGAAAGAUUAAAUUCAAACAAAGGAACUACGGCACCCUCUUUUGGAAUAUGCUGCAAACAAUGGAAAAUCGAUCUGCCGCCACUAAGAGAACCUCCACCAUACCUUGGAAACCUCUUAAGAAGUGAAGGGCAGGAUUCGGUAAACUUCAAAGAAAAUAUAAGGUCAUACAACUCAAUGUUUUCAUUCACAUCGAUGGGAGGAGCUGUGGACAAGGAAAUAAACACUCGCAAAGGACCUUAUGUUUUUCGUUUGCAUGGACAAAACUACCACCAUAUCGGAACUCUUUUGCCUCAACGUACAGACAAACCUCGGUUUGCACAGCUAUACAUCUAUAAUACCGAAAAUGAGGUGGAAAACAGGAUAAAUGCGUCAAGAUGCAAUGAUAAAAAAUCAACAGUGGACCCCAACAUCGUCAAAGAACUGAAAAUAAUGCUCGACGACAACAACAUCCUCGCAAAAACCUUCAGAAUGGCAAGAGAUAGAUUCCAAGAAGGAGACUACCAUGAUUACACACUUCGGAUACUAGGCAAAAGGAACGGAACACACAACCUUCCAUCCGCAUCUAAAGUUGCAGCAUUGGUAGUAAGAGAUCCAACCGGAGAGAGUGAAGGACGUGACAUUGUUGUUGAGUACAAAAAUAUGGAUCCGCAAAGGAUAUCAGAGAUCCACCCGAAAUUCAUGUCCAUGCAAUAUCCGUUGUUGUUCCCAUAUGGAGAAGAUGGUUUUAAACUUGAGAUACCCUACAAGAAAACAAAAGGAGGUACAAACAGCAGGAAAUACGUAACGUUAUUGGACUACUAUGCAUUCUACCUACAACAACGUCCUGAUCAAGGAAUGUUACUACUCAAGUCCGGGCAUUUGUCACUGCAAUUUUGGGUGGAUGUAUACACAUGUAUCGAGCAAAAUAGACUAAACUGGAUCCGACACAAUCAAGGAAAGCUAUGA